AUGACUCAUGCCUAACACAUUUCAAUAACAGUACUGGCCCCAUUAGACCAACUCCCAGACACAGACCAGAGGAGGAUAGAAUCAAACCUACGUUGUUAAAACUGGUAAUGUAGUACCUUUUCAUACAUUACUCCUCACAGCAGUUUUACCAUAGUGAUUUACUAGCUUGAGGGCUUGCUAUACUGCAGUAUACUGCUCAUGCUAUUAUUCUUUGUUUACACAGCUUAAGUACAGUACAUUUCAGGGAGGCAGUCUCUCACAGCGUCAUACCACCCUGAAGGCUAACGUUACUGCUUACUACACUUUGAAGACCAAGAACAAGAAGAACAUUCUCCCUACAGAAAAUCUCAUCGUCACUUCUCAUCAUUAAAAAAGUUGUUUCGAAGGAUUUCAUACUCUGUUCUGAUUGCAUUCAUUAGCAUCAGCAAUGCUCUCCUGCUUUCAGACAAAAUAAAUGGUGCCUGCCUUGUGCCUCGCUGUUGUUGUUGUCUAUGAACAUUACAAUAACAACAACAAUGAUGUUUGAUUUACUUUAAAUGGCUCCGCUGUUGAUGGGACGCAGUUCCCUUUCCUUCACAACAUGUUGUACAGUAUGAAUGUACCGACAUCAUCACACACAGUAGCACAUUAACUAACAGUGACAGAUGUUGACUCUCAGCUACAUCUUCCUAUUUGUAACAGACAAAUGCAUCUCUUGGAGCUGCUCUACUCCGAGCUUAGCGAUUACCAACCCUGGUCCUGGAGAUCUACAGGGUGUGCAGGCUUUUGUUACAGCCCAAUACUACCACACAGCAAUAGAGAUAGUCAAGGCCCGGCAGUUGAGUAGUUGAGUCAGGCGCGUUAGUGGUGCUGGACUAAAGGACCAAGGCUGAUUGUGAGGUUGUGGGCACAUCCCUCAUUAAAUCUAACCUCUCUCUCUCUCAGGGGGUUUGACCCGAUGACCAAUAUCUGAUGACUGAUACACCGAUACUGAUGGUUAAUACACAAUAGCAACGCUGAGAGGAGGCUGAGAACACAGGACCAGGGAGAAGAGAGUUGUGGUAGAUUGUUGGCAGAGCUGGAGGAAUAGUUGGCCAAGAGACUGCUGACCACCUGUUACGCGAGUGCAGCAUCAAAAGAACCU